rnacentral:lncRNA from 1 species
GUCAAUUUUAAGAACUUCAAAAGAAAUACUUGAGAUUAGGAUCCGAAAGUCCAACAACGAGUUCAAAGAAGUACUUAAAUAUAGAUUUGGUUUGAGAAUUUUUGUGUCUAAGUGACGAAAGACAUCUAAGAGGCAAUUGUAUCAAAGUGUCGUGAUUUCCUUUUAUGGCUGGGUUGCGAAGAAGAUAUGUUUAAUCUAUGAAUCUGGG